rnacentral:rRNA from 1 species
CGGAGGUGCGAGCGUUAAUCGGAAUUACUGGGCGUAAGCGCGCGUAGGCGGUUUGUUAAGUCGGAUGUGAAAGCCCCGGGCUCAACCUGGGAAUUGCACCCGAUACUGGCCGACUGGAGUGCGAGAGAGGGAGGUAGAAUUCCACGUGUAGCGGUGAAAUGCGUAGAUAUGUGGAGGAAUACCGGUGGCGAAGGCGGCCUCCUGGCUCGACACUGACGCUGAGGUGCGAAAGCGUGGGGAGGCAAACAGGAUU